UAACGGCGAGUGAAGCGGCAACAGCUCAAAUUUGAAAUCUGGCGCAAGCCCGAGUUGUAAUUUGUAGAGGAUGCUUCUAGGUAGCGACCGGUCUAAGUUCCUUGGAACAGGACGUCAGAGAGGGUGAGAAUCCCGUAUGUGACCGGCCCGCACCUUCUACGUAGCUCCUUCGAAGAGUCGAGUUGUUUGGGAAUGCAGCUCUAAAUGGGAGGUAAAUUUCUUCUAAAGCUAAAUACCGGCCAGAGACCGAUAGCGCACAAGUAGAGUGAUCGAAAGAUGAAAAGCACUUUGGAAAGAGAGUUAAAAAGCACGUGAAAUUGUUGAAAGGGAAGCGCUUACAACCAGACUUCUGGGCGGUGUUCCGCCGGUCUUCUGACCGGUCUACUCGCCGUCCCGAGGCCAACAUCAUCUGGGACCGCUGGAUAAGACCGGAGGAAUGUAGCUCCCCUCGGGGAGUGUUAUAGCCUCCGGUGAUGCAGCGCGUCUCGGGUGAGGUCCGCGCUUCGGCAAGGAUGUUGGCGUAAUGGUUGUCAGCGGCCCGUCUUGAAACACGGACCAAGGAGUCUAACAUCUAUGCGAGUGUUCGGGUGUCAAACCCCUACGCGGAAUGAAAGUGAACGGAGGUGGGAAGGGCAACCUGCACCAUCGACCGAUCCUGAUGUCCUCGGAUGGAUUUGAGUAAGAGCAUAGCUGUUGGGACCCGAAAGAUGGUGAACUAUGCCUGAAUAGGGUGAAGCCAGAGGAAACUCUGGUGGAGGCUCGCAGCGGUUCUGACGUGCAAAUCGAUCGUCAAAUUUGGGUAUAGGGGCGAAAGACUAAUCG
rnacentral:rRNA from 1 species